AUUCUAUCGCAGUGGCAUUAUCAUAGCCUAUGAGGUCCAUCCGAGGAGUGGUUAUUGUUGGGUGACAACUUAACCCAAAACUCUACAUUGGACCGACAUGAAAUAUAGUCAGAAGUAGUCUUGGGGAGAAUAGGUUC